CCCAUAUGCUGCCCGAAGCUUUUCCAUGGGAAAGGGGCUUAGGUUUAAGUUUUUAUUUUCUUUAAUUUCUCCUCCAAUCUUCAACCAAAUCACAAAGUCCACUAUAUGAAAUCGAUUGUAAACCAUCCAAUGAAUCCAUUCCACCGAUCAAUUUGAGCUAUAGUUGAGUGUGCUAGGAGUUCUUUCUUCCUCCCAUUUUCGUGACACUAUUCAUCAAGGAGGGGAAAGUGCAUUUUUGAAGAAGCUUUGCUUGGAGAUGGAUCUUUAGGCUUUGUACAAGUGAUUGGAGGUGUGCCUAGGGAUUUAAAAGGAUUGGAAUCUUAUUGAAGCGAUAUAAGUAACUUGUAUCACAAGUAAGCGGAUUGAUAAAGCUUCAAGAGGUGCCCAGAUUCCGGGUGAGUCCUCACUAAGCAAAGACGCGACCCGUGGUUGAGGCGUUGGGGACGGAUCAGUUUUUGAGUAGCUGUAGGCUGCUAACUUUUUGGAGUGCAUUUAUGUUAUUUCGUAUUUUCGCAUUUGAUGGAUCAUGAUGUUAGAUCCUUUACUUUGUAUAUGGCAUGUAUAUGUCUUGUACAUGUUCUUCAGUUUGAUGCAUGUACAUGUUUGUAUUCAGGCAUGUUGAUAUGACUAUGUAGUAUUCAGUUAUGUUUAUGUAUUAGAUUGCAUGUUGUUAGAUUAGCGGCACUGAGCCAAGUUCUGCAUGCGCCCAUGGAUG